UACGAAAAAAUAACCCGCCGGCUAUUCGGGUAUAUAUAUAUACAUGUAUGUAGGUUUAUGUGUACAUAUAUAUAUAUAUGUGUAUGAAAUGAUAUAAAUAUGUAACCAAUAACAACAUUACCGAUCAAGUAUUUAAAAAUAAAAAAUAUACUCAACAAAAAUUAUAUCAUUACAGAUUUAUUAUUUUAUUGUAAAAUAAUAAUGGAAUAUAUUUAUAUAUUUAUUUUUAUAUUUUCACUGAUAUUUAUAACAAUUGUUAUUUUUAUUCUAAGACUAAUUUUUCAAAAUUGUGGAGAUAAUAGAUCAAAUCAUAUAAACAAUCAAACAGCUUUCUCAAAUGAUGAUCACGUAUAUGGUUUUGGUACAACAAAUAUAUAUGAUGAUCAUAAUUCUACUGCGUAUAUAAGUGAUAAUUAUAAUGAUUCAGUAUCAGGAUAUCAUCAUACGUCGUCAUCGCAUCAUGGUAUUAGUCAUUGCGAUACUAGUAAUGUAGAUAAUGGACAUUGCAGUAGUGGAAAUACUGGAGGUUGCGAUUCUGGAGGUGGUGAUACUGGAGGUGGUGAUUCUGGAGGUGGUGAUUCUGGAGGUGGUGGUGGCGGAGGUAGUUGUGAUUAAAUAUAUGUAAGUAAUAUGAGUACCUAAUAUAUAUAUGUAUAUAUAUAUAUAUAUUUAAAGCCAAGGAUACAAUGGAAUUUGUAAAAAAAUUAUUUUGUCUAUUAAUAAUUAAACUUUUGUAAAAUUUAUCAUGUACCUGAAAAUCGGAACGUUUUUCGCGGAAUGAAAGUAAAAAAAUGAAAUGAAAAGUAAACAAUCUACUGGAUCUUGAUUUUUGAAAUAUUUUGCAUAGGUGCUAGUAUGUCAGCCAAAAAUUAAAGGUCACCUUCAACUAUCCCUUAUGUCACCUUAAGCAGUCAGAAUUCAAAUUAUAUAAAUUUUUUUAUUUUUGUUCCACAAAAAACGAUCCGAUUUUCAAGUGCAUAAUUUAUGUUCAUUCUCAUCUCCAAGAUCUAGAGGAUCUAGAGUCAAAGUCAAGACGUUUGCAGUAAAAUAAGAGGCCUUAAAAUUAAUAUGAUAAAAUAAUGUUUUAUUUUGAUGAAUUGUUUAUUGUUAUUAGUAUCCGUUUUUAAGGGAUAUUAGAUACAGAGUAAAAUGGGACAGCUAUGAAAUUUAAUUUUGAAUGGCACAAAAUUACAUAAAGUCCAGAAAAUCGAAAGCUAAAAUUUUAUUUGUUAUAGCAAAUGAGUUAUUGAUUUUUUAAUAAAUUUAACGAAAGAGACAAGAUAAUUUAGUGAAUUUGAAAUUUUAAUUUUAUUUUUUGAGAUAAAAAAUUGUAAAAAUUAUCGAUUAAAUAUUUUUAUUUGUUUUUAUAAAAUAACAUUUAAUUGUAAUUAUUUUUAUUUUUAAUUUCCAAUUAAAAUUUAAAUGAAAAAUAAAAUGGUUAGUCUUUUUGAGUUUGUAAAAAUUAUUUUUUACUAUGUUUUUAACAACGUGAGCUUCGAAGAAUGAUAAUGUGAAUUUUAAAGUGAUAAAAAAAUAACAUCAUCUUCAGGAUUGAGAAAUAUUCAAAUUUUCAGUCUGAUUUUUGGGAGCAAAUAUCUUAGCAAUGGUUACAUUUUCAAAAAUUUAAAAUCACACCUUUGUAGAGCAUUCAAUUUUCUACUAAAACACGUAUUGAAUAUUUCUGAAUUCUCAUUGGCUGACAUGUUAUAAAAUUCAGAACGUGCAAAAACAAGCUCCUUGAAUUGUAUCAAACUUUGACCUUGGAUAUUUUUUGAAUGGUCCAAUUUAUACCAAAAUCAUAGACCUUUUUUGUAGACCAGUAAAUUUGCACAAAAUCUUUCGAUAUAAUUUUUCAGUAUCUUUAUUUGUUCGAAAAUUAUGAAAUUUUUCUCAUCUUACUGAAUAAAAAAUAGAAAAUUAUAAACAGCCACCUCUUAAGAGGGUCUAUAGUAAUUUCUGUCCAAAUUUUUCUCUUAAAAAAAUCCUCUAAACGCAAAAUUAAAACGAGACUUGAUGCAUUAUUUUAUAAUCUAGCAAUCUAGGUUUUCAUUUUUAAAAAAUAUUCAUCUGUUUAAAAAAAAAAUGUGAACAGUUUUCGUUUACUGUGCAAGUGCAACAAGGAUAGUAUCGUUCGUCGACUUGAGUGUGAUAGAGAAAAAAGUUCAGACCCCUCUUAUCAAUAUUAAGAGCUCAAAUUUUAACUGUCGCUAUGUUUUAAGAUACUCGAUUUUUUAAUGUUCUUAAAAAAAAAAAAAAAAAUUCAGUCCCUUUAUUUGAAACAGUCCAAUAUAUAUAUACAUAUGUUUAUAAUAGGACCCAUUGACAAAAUAUACCUUUAUAUAUAAAUAUAUGUGUGUGUAUAUGUAUCUGUGGUAUUAUAUAUAUGAAGGUAUAUUUUGUCUAUGGGUCCUAUUAUAUAUACAAUAUAUAUAUGUCUACUAUAAUGCUCUAGACUCCGUAAAAAUUUAGCAGAUUGCAAAACAAGUAGUUCACGUGUAAAUAUCAUCAGAAAAAUGUAAACUAACAUAUAUGUAUAUACUAAUAUAUAUAUAUAUACAAAUAUAAUAAUUAUUUUUAUAAGUAAUGUAAUAAUAAUACUAAUGAAAAAAAAAAUAAAAUUAUAGAAAUUUAAAUCUCAAAGCGCCGAUAAAUUUAAAAUAAUAAAUAAUUAUUAAACUGUAACUAAAAAAUGACGGACAUCUCAACGAUUUAUAUAGUUCUGCUAACUACAGUCGCGAUAUGUUAUAUAUCAGUAAUGGGAUAUAUUAUUUAUAUAAAUUGUUGUACUGAUCAAGGAUGGAGUAGAUCGAAUUUUACUGAUCUCACUAAUAUGCAAGCAGCUGCUUCUCCAGUCAUUGCAGUUAUCCACUGAAAAAAUCGUCUAUAGAAAAAUUAAUUACUGCAUUUUGAUAAAUAUAUAUGCCAAUAAUGAAUACCUCAAGCAUCACAAUAGACGAAUACGAUGAUUUUAAUACAGCAAAUUUAAAUUUUCAAAUAAGUCACAUAAUUGCCCAAAAUAAUGAUCAUUACUUUGAUCCGGGACAUUAUUAUGCAGGAGGAUGUGACUUGACUGCAGAUUUUGGUGGAUGUGAUGCUGGAGGAUGUGACGCUGGAGGGUGUGAUUAAAUAAUUUAUGAAAAUAAUAAUAAUAAUAAUAAUCUAGUCCAGCAGAAAUAAUAAUUAUGAUAAUGAAUAAUUGUGUUAAUAUAAUAAUAAUGUUAUUUUAUAAUAGUGUACAAAUUUCAAUUUUAUAAAUAUUUUUUUUAAAUAACAAAUUUAUUGUUUAUAAAAUAUAAUUAUUAUAUAUUUUAAUGUUUACAUAAUCAUUUUGUAAUAAAAAUAAUAA